GCCAGGGAUAGCUCAGUUUGGUAGAGAAUGAGGGUCUUAAUCUCAGGGUUGUAGCUUCGAGCCCCACAUUGGGCA